rnacentral:lncRNA from 1 species
AGCAGAUACAACUCACCUGCAGGACAGACAGAACCACGCCCCAGAGCAGAUACAACUCACCUGGACAGACAGAACCACGCCCCAGAGCAGAUACAACUCACCUGCAGGACAGACAGAACCACGCCCCAGAGCAGACACAGCUCACCUGGACAGACAGAACCACGCCCCAGAGCAGACACAACUCACCUGCAGGACAGACAGAACCACGCCCCAGAGCAGAUACAACUCACCUGCAGGACAGACAGAACCACGCCCCAGAGCAGAUACAACUCACCUGGACAGACAGAACCACGCCCCAGAGCAGAUACAACUCACCUGCAGGACAGACAGAACCACGCCCCAGAGCAGACACAGCUCACCUGGACAGACAGAACCACGCCCCAGAGCAGACACAACUCACCUGGACAGACAGAACCACGCCCCAGAGCAGACACAACUCACCUGGACAGACAGAACCACGCCCCAGAGCAGACACAACUCACCUGGACAGAAGACCCAGCUCACCUGGACAGAAGACCCAGCUCACCUGGACAGAAGACCCAGCUCACCUGGACAGAAGACCCAACUCACCUGGACAGAAGACCCAACUCACCUGGACAGAAGACCCAGCCCACCUGCAGUCCUGAAGGUAUCCCAGAGUUCCACCAGCUCUGAGUGGGACGAAGGACGAAGGCACGUGUUGACAGCUCUGAGUGGGACGAAGGACGAAGGCACGUGUUGACAGCUCUGAGUGGACGAAGGACAAAGGCACGUGUUGACAGCUCUGAGUGGGACGAAGGACGAAGGCACGUGUUGACAGGGAGGAGUGGGACGAAGGACGAAGGCACGUGUUGACAGGGAGGAGUGGACGAAGGACGAAGGCACGUGUUGACAGGGAGGAGUGGACGAAGGACAAAGGCACGUGUUGACAGCUCUGAGUGGGACGAAGGACGAAGGACAAAGGCACGGGUUGACAGCUCUGAGUGGGACGAAGGACGAAGGACAAAGGCACGUGUUGACAGCUCUGAGUGGACGAAGGACAAAGGCACGUGUUGACAGGGAGGAGUGGACAAAGGACGAAGGCACGUGUUGACAGCUCUGAGUGGACGAAGGACAAAGGCACGUGUUGACAAAGCUGAGUGGACGAAGGACGAAGGCCCGUGUUGACAGCUCUGAGUGGACGAAGGACGAAGGCACGUGUUGACAGGGCUGAGUGGGACGAAGGACGAAGGCACGUGUUGACAGCUCUGAGUGGGACGAAGGACGAAGGCACGUGUUGACAGCUCUGAGUGGGACGAAGGACGAAGGCACGUGUUGACAGCUCUGAGUGGGACGAAGGACGAAGGCCCGUGUUGACAGCUCUGAGUGGGACGAAGGCACGUGUUGACAGGGCUGAGUGGACGAAGGACGAAGGCACGUGUUGACAGCUCUGAGUGGGACGAAGGACGAAGGCACGUGUUGACAGCUCUGAGUGGGACGAAGGACGAAGGCACGUGUUGACAGCUCUGAGUGGGACGAAGGACGAAGGCACGUGUUGACAGCUCUGAGUGGGACGAAGGACGAAGGCACGUGUUGACAGCUCUGAGUGGGACGAAGGACAAAGGCACGUGUUGACAGCUCUGAGUGGGACGAAGGACGAAGGCACGUGUUGACAGUCUCUCUCUCUCUCUCUCUAGUCAUGGGUUUUAAACGUUUUGGCGAUGGACCAGUCUGCGACCACAAGCUCUAUAGGAUCUAGCAGCACCUUCAUCCACAACUUUCUGGAGUUUUUUUCCCCACUUCUUUCUCUCUGACGUUCUCUAUUCGCCGCAGAGCUCUCGCUGCUUAGCAACAGCCGCCAGACAGAGUGCCAUCGGGGAGUGCGGUUAUGAACUUCUCCUUGAAGCGUAUAGGCUUGUCCUGCUGUGGACAUAAUCUCAAC